rnacentral:rRNA from 1 species
AUGAACGCUGGCGGCGUGCCUAAUACAUGCAAGUCGAGCGAACAGACGAGGAGCUUGCUCCUCUGACGUUAGCGGCGGACGGGUGAGUAACACGUGGAUAACCUACCUAUAAGACUGGGAUAACUUCGGGAAACCGGAGCUAAUACCGGAUAAUAUAUUUAACCGCAUGUUUCAAUAGUUAAAGACGGUUUUGCUGUCACUUAUAGAUGGAUCCGCGCCGCAUUAGCUAGUUGGUAAGGUAACGGCUUACCAAGGCAACGAUGCGUAGCCGACCUGAGAGGGUGAUCGGCCACACGGGAACUGAGACACGGUCCAGACUCCUACGGGAGGCAGCAGUAGGGAAUCUUCCGCAAUGGGCGAAAGCAUGACGGAGCAACGCCGCGUGAGUGAUGAAGGUCUUCGGAUCGUAAAACUCUGUUAUUAGGGAAGAACAAAUGUGUAAGUAACUAUGCACGUCUUGACGGUACCUAAUCAGAAAGCCACGGCUAACUACGUG